rnacentral:rRNA from 1 species
GGAAGUAAAAGUCGUAACAAGGUCUCCGUUGGUGAACCAGCGGAGGGAUCAUUACCGAGUUUACAACUCCCAAACCCAUGUGAACAUACCUGUCUUGUUGCUUCGGCGGCGCCCACGGCCCUCACGGGCUUGGGGCCCGCCAGAGGACCCAAACAAAACUCUUUGCAUUUUGAAUACAGUAUUCUGAGUGACAUGAUUAAAUAAAAUCAAAACUUUCAACAACGGAUCUCUUGGCUCUGGCAUCGAUGAAGAACGCAGCGAAAUGCGAUAAGUAAUGUGAAUUGCAGAAUCCAGUGAAUCAUCGAAUCUUUGAACGCACAUUGCGCCCGCCAGUAUUCUGGCGGGCAUGCCUGUUCGAGCGUCAUUUCAACCCUCAAGCUCUGCUUGGCGUUGGGGAUCGGCAGCCCGGCUUCGCGCCGCGCCGUCCCCCAAAUACAGUGGCGGUCUCGCUGCAGCUUCCUUUGCGUAGUAGCACACCUCGCACCGGAGAGCAGCGCGGCCACGCCGUAAAACCCCCGACUUCUUGUUUUUGACCUCGAAUCAGGUAGGACUACCCGCUGAACUUAAGCAUAUCAAUAAGCGGAGGA